AACGUAGGUGGCGAGCGUUAUCCGGAUUUACUGGGCGUAAAGCGUGUGCAGGCGGGUGAACAAGGGGGGUAUGAAAUCGCUCGGCUAAACCGGGCGGGGUUAUGCCAGACUGUUCAUCUGGAGUGCGAGAGAGGGUAGUGGAAUUCCCGGUGUAGUGGUGAAAUGCGUAGAUAUCGGGAGGAACACCAGUGGCGAAGGCGACUACCUGGUCUGUUCUUGACGCUGAGGCGCGAAAGCUAGGGGAGCAAACGGG
rnacentral:rRNA from 1 species